CUGGUUUUGGGGAGCCUAGCUUAAGUUCUCUUUGUUAGGUUAUUCUAGAUAAUUCAUUAUGCAAAAGGUACAAGGGGUAAUCUUUGCUGAUCUGAAGAGCAAACA